GCUGGGCAAAGUUCUUUCUCAAGAGACUGUGAGGGCGUUGCCAGAGGAGAUUGACAGCUGAGUGGGUGACUGGGAGAAGAAGACCUGCCCUCAGUGUGGGGGACCAGCCAAUCCGGUGCCAGCGCGGCUGGAACCCGGCCGACAGAAGAUGGCGGAUGAGCAGCGUGCAGGGUUUUCUCCCUGUGGCUCACUCUCUCUUACUGUGCUGGGCGGUUGCUUCCUCUCCUGCUGCCCUUGGGAGUCAGACUCCAGGUUCUUCAGCCUGUGGCCCCUGGGGCUCUCGGGCCUUGGAGGACUGACUAGGAGCACACGGUGGGCCUCUCUGGUUUGGGGGCCUGGGACGUGGCGGAGCCCUGCAGCUUCUGUGCGGCCUGUUCUGGGCGUCGCGUUGAAACGCCAGCCAGUUCCCCAAUCCCCCUGGGAUUACAGGAGUGUUGAAGAAAUGUUGUGACACAUCAGAACACCGCGAAAUACAUGGACACUUUCAAAUCAUGGAAGACUCAAGGGUCAGGAGGGCAUCUUUCUCGGCUCUUCACUGUGAGAACCUUGUGGGAUUCCUGAAGAUGAAACCAUGAACGCGAGGGAGUCUUGCUAAAACUGCAGCAUUCGAGAGGUUUUCACUCAUGCUGGCUCACACUUGUCCUCUAGCAAUUCAUCAAAAUUACCACGACAAAGAAGACAGAAAAUACUACACACUACCCAGAGAUUGAAACUGAAGGUGUGAACAACAGAGAAAAGAGAGGGCAAAGAAAAGGAAAACAAAGAAGACGUGGGAUAUGAAAGGUGUAUGCCAUGUGUGGACAUCAAGAAAUGUUUCAGCUCGCACUUCUGCCACCAAUUGAGCCUGGAACCUCACUACUUGGAGUUGGGGGGAGGGCAGUGCUCAUUCAUCACCUGUGAAAAUAGGGAUUGAGAGUUCCCUAACUUUGCCAUUUUUCCUCAAGCACUGGCAUUGGUCUUCUGAAUGUCAGGCUCUGUAUAAGUGAGUCCUCAGCUGAGCCACAGGCUCUGCAUUCCUGGCAGUCCACACACUUCAUAUCCUUUGUUUAUGCUGCUCAUUUUGGAAUUCAAACAGGUUGGUGGGGCACAUUUCAACAGAUAAUGACACACACUGACUGCUCAUGAGCUAUUUUAUGGUGUGAGAAUGUUGUGAUGUUAUGAAAUGCGGAGGCAUUAAAACAUGGGGACAUUUUCUAGAAGAUCCUUAGCAGAGAGUACAGAAGACUAAGGUCCAAAUCUCUGAAAUGAUGUUUUCCAAAUUAUUGCACAGCUAUGUCAAAGUACCUUGAUCCAGUUAAUGUUAACAAAUAAAAAAUUAUGAAAUGUUAUUUUCUAGGUAUGGAUAGUAGUGGAUAGUAGUAGAUCUGUUGUGUAGUGGAGAUUACUUAGGAAGAAUAAAUUUCAACUUUACCAAGAAAGUACUACAUUAAUUGCAUUAGGGAAUUGUGAAUUGCAUUAGGAAAAUGCUCAUUCUUCUUUCAAUAGCCAAUAUCUGGAUACUAUACUCUCUUGAAUUUCUAAGAUUUGCAUCCAAUAUUCUAUAAUUAGCUUUCCAGUUUAUUGAAUGAUUUAAUUUACAUACAAAUAUUUUCUAAUAUAUUCCCUGUAAAAUAGUUUAAAAAAUUAAACGUUUCUCUAAUUACACAUUCCUCCCUAGCUGAUACAAUUUCAUUUAUUUGCUUACUUUCCCAGCUGGACAUUCAGAAAUUUUUUACUCAUAUUGUCUUCAAUUGCAUAUUUGCCAGUUUCUAGCUUUUAUUUUAUUUUUUAUAUCCAUUUUGUUCUAGGUGUGGAAAUUGCUAAGUGUAGAGCUUAAUAAUAUUUCACCAGAAAGAUAUGUGUCUAACUCCCUCAUGAAGAAAUAGUAUGUUACCAACACUCCCAAAUUUCCUUUGAUGUCAAAAAGCAUUAUUUUUCUCGAGUCUUUUUUUGUGUUGGUAUGAUAUAUAAACGAAAUCAUAUACACAUUUAUUUUUUCAUUUAGAUACUUUCCUUCAGUAUUAUGAUUGAGACAUUAACCUCAGUUUAAGUAUUUAUGUCAUUUUCAUUGCUAGUUCAUUGUAAGAAGCACACCUUUUAUUUAUCUAUUCCCUUAAUACAUAUUCCUGUUUCCAGUGUUAGAUUAAUGCAAAUAAGGCUAUCGUGAGCAUUCUUUUACAUGUUUUUCAGUGUACAAAUAUAUGCUGAGAGAGGAAUUACUGAAUCACAGAAAGCAGUAUAUGCAGCUAUAAUAGAUAUUACCAUAUCCACCAAACGUUUAGCAUUUCCUGUUUCAUUUUAUUCACUCUGGGGGAUGUAUAGAGAUUUCACAUUACAUUAUAAUUUAAUUUCUCUAAUGUCUAAUGAUGGGGAGCACCUUUUUCAUGUUUUUAUUGUCAAUUUGGCUAUCUUCUUUUUCUAAAUGCAUGUUCAAGUAUUUCAUCCAUUUUUAUUGGUCUUCUUUUUUUACUGGUUUAAUUGAAUUCUUUACAUAUUAUGGAUAUGAGCUCUUUGUCAAUUUUAUAUGUAUGCUUAUAUUCACUCCUACUUCACUCUGCAGCUUGCUUUUUAUUUUUAUGCUUUUAAUAAUGAACAUAAUUUCUUUAUUUUAAUAAAUAUCAUUAUUUUUCUUUAUGGUUAGUGUAUUUGCAACUAGGUUAACAAAUAUUUAUCUCCUUUACAGGCACUAAUAUAUUUCCCAACGUUAUCUUCCAAAAGAGGUCAUGUUGUACCUCUUGUAUUUAGGUAUACAAUACAUCUGAAAUUGAUUUUUGUGUGUGUUGCAGUUAGUAAUGAAGAUUCUCUUUUGAUAUAAAUAUCUAACUGAUUCAGCAUUAUUUCUUUAAAAGGCCACUUAUUUUCAUUGCUGUUGUAAGGAAGGAACAAAGGUUUCUUGUCAUGGCUUUCCUUCUGUAUUGCUCAGUCUCCCUAAAGUAAGUCUAGAAAAUUAAAGAAUUUUUUGAAUUGUUUUUUAUGAAUCAGGCAUUUCUCUAAAUAUGCCAGUCUAUUUCUAGACUAUAUUUGAAUUUGUCUUUAUGCUUUGUUCUAGUGCACACUGUCUUGAACAUUAUAUUUUUAUAAGUAUUGAUAUUUUAUAUUUUUAUUCUGAUUAAUUCAUUUAACUUGCUUUAUAAAUCUUUUGUGAAACAAGAAUGUUAUUUUUGAAGUGGCAGCAUUUAAAGAAUGUUACUUUAUUCAGCUCAAAAUCAUGUAUUACAUACUAUACUGUACUAAGUAUAUAUAUAUACACACACAUAUAUAUACACACAUAUAUACACACACAUAUAUAUACACACACACACACACACACACACACACAUAUAUAUAUAUAUAUAUAUGCACAUUUAAUACCCAAAAAAUCCCAAUCAGGUGUGCACUAUUAGUAUUCUCAUAUUGUAAUUGAAGAAACAAAGUCACAGAGGCACAGGCACAAAGAAGUUAAGCAGAAUGUGAAUGCGAGAUACCUAACACAUGGUGAGUGGAAAUGUCUGUAUUUGAAUCUAGGCACCUGGCUGCAGACUAAGUGCUUUUAGAGACUAUGCUUUGCUGAUUUUCAUUUCAGAGGUGAUUUUACUUUUCUUCUUAAGGUUUUUCAGGAAAGAAUUGGUGGCUGAGAAUAGAUUUUAGAUGUAGAAAUUGUAAGAAGAAGCUGGGGGAGGUGGCUUACACCUGUAAUCCCAGCACUUUGGGAGGCCGAGGCGGGUGGAUCACCUGAGGUCAGGAGUUUGAGACCAGCCUGACCAACAUGGUGAAACCCCGUCUCUACUAAAAAUAAAAAAAAUUAGCCAGGCAUGGUGGUGGGUGCCUUUAAUCCCAGCUACUCAGGAGGCUGAGGCAGGUGAAUCGCUUGAAGCCAGGAGGCAGAGAUUGCAGUGAGCCGAGAUUGCGCCAUUGCACUCCAGCCUGGACAAAAAGAGUGAAACUCCAUGUCAAAAAAAAAAAAAAAAAGGAAAUUAUAAGAAGAACUAGGUUAAAGUUUUCUUUAUUUUAAUCUGGCUUAAUAAAUAGAAUUUAUUAUCAGAUUGUGAUAGAAGAUGAGAGAAAAAGCAGGAAUCUUGAGUCACUAUGAAAUUUGGGGUCUGAGAUAAUAAGUGGAUGGCACACUCGGUUGUCAAAGUAGGAAGCACUAGGGAGGCAAACAUAUAGAAUGGAAUGGAGGAUUAUGUUACUUGGGAGAUGCCUAAGAGACAACUAAAUUUCAGGUUUCAAGUAGGAAGCCUGAGGUAUACAUGAGAUACUUAAAACCAUGGGACAGAAUGAGAUCAUCUUGGAAGAAUGUGUACAGAAAUAAAAUAACUGAGAAUGAAAUUAUAGGAGCAUGGCACUUAAUUUAUAUGAAAAGAGGAUGGUUUGGACUAUUUAAACUUCUUUCCCUCUUCUGGGAUUCUAAGAGAGACAUGAGAGACCAAGUAGCAAUUGUGGCAUCAUUACAAUAUCUGAUAAACUUGUGCUAUAGCCUACUCUUCUAGAAUACCUGUAUAGAAGAGAUUAUGAAAGGGAAAGUGUAUAAAACAGAGUGGUUGAAAAUGCUUACCAUCAUUGGAGUAAUAUAGACAUACAGAAGGAAGAAGGUGAAAAAUACAGGCUAGUCUUGAGGAUCCUGACUGCUUUGUAUGGGAAAUGUCUGGCUAUACCAUUGUUAAACUGUUUCACUACAGCAUUAAAAUGAGUCAAUUAUGCAUUUAAAUUUAUGGAUAAAAAACUAAGCUACCAACAGUAAGCUACAGAAGAAAAGUUGUAUGCUAAUGGAAUAUUUUUAGAAUUCUGGAUUAUUUAGGAAAAGUCUGAUGUCUUACUGAAAGAACACCUCAAUAAUAGAGCAAAUAUUAAAAAGUGAUAAUUUUAUACCACAUUCCUAAAGGUAAAAUUACUAUAGUAGAAUGCCUGGCAGUUGAGAAGUACUUUAACAAUGGCAUUAAAAAAUAUGGCUUAUUUCUAAGUGUUUAAUCCAUCUUGGGUUAAUUUUUGUAUAAGGUGUAAGAAAGGGGUCCAGUUUCAGUUUUCUGCAUAUGGCCAGCCUGUUUUCCCAACACCAUAGGGAAUCCUUUCCCCAUGGCUUGUUUUUAUCAGGUUUGUCAAAGAUCAGAUGGUUGUAGACGUAUGGAGUUAUUUCUGAGUUCUCUGUUCUGUCUGGCUUGUUUUUGUCAGGUUUGUCAAAGAUCAGAUGGUUGUAGAUGUAUUGGGUUAUUUCUGAGGCCUCUGUUCUGUUGCAUUUGUCUAUAUAUCUGUUUUGCUACCAGUACCAUGCUGUUUUGGUUACGGUAACCUUGUAGUAUAGUUUGAAGUCACGUAGCAUGAUGCUUCCAGCUUUGUUCUUUUUGCUUAGGAUUGUCUUGGCUGUACAGGCUCUUUUUUGGUUCCAUAUGAAACUUAAAGUAGUUUUUUUCCAAUUCUGUGAAGAAAGUCAAAGGCAGCUUGAUGGGGAUACCAUUGAAUCUAUAAAUUACUUUGGACAGUAUGGCCAUUUUCAUGAUAUUGAUUCUUCCUAUCCAUGAGCAUUGUUAAACUGCUUAAACUGUUUAACGUUUUAUGUUAAAUGUUAACAUAAUGUUGUACAUUAUGUAACAAAUGUAAAAUAAUGUUAAAAUGUUCUUCCAUUUGUUUGUAUCCUCUCUUAUUUCCUUGAGCAGUGGUUUGUAGUUCUCCUUGAAGAGGUCCUUCAUAUCCCUUGUAAGUUUUAUCCCUAGAUAUUUUAUUCUUUUGGUAGUAAUUGUGAACAGGAGUUCACUCAUGAUUUGGCUCUCUAUUAUUGGUGUAUAGGAAUGCUUGUGAUUUUUGCACAUUGAUUUUUUAUCCUGAGAGUUUGCUGAAGUUGCUUAUCAGCUUAAGGAGAUUUGGGGCUGAGAUGAUGGGGUUUUCUAAAUAUACAGCCAUGUCAUCUCCAAACAGAGAAAAUUUGACUUUCUCUCUCCUAUUUGAAUAUGGCCUAUUCCAAUUCAGGUACACACUUGGACAUAGAUAGCAUUCAGCAUUGAACAUGUUCUUGAAUGGUUGGAUUUCACCCUUGGCAUGUUUGAUAUAUACCUCAGCUUCUUCAGUACAACAUUAACUUUUCACUUUUGUCAUUUUUGUCUGAGAGAGGAAAGAAUAAAAGUGAAAGAAAAAAGUUCAGGGGUAUAUCAAAUUUAAAGUUCUCAGGAAGGAGGUCCUGACAGACAGGAUAUUCAGAGGAAAACUAGGAGAAUGUGGGAAGAGAUAAAGCAAAUGUCCAAUGUUGCUGCAAAACUGAUUACAAUUAGGUCAGAGUAUAGGUCAAAGUCUAUGGCAGGCUAUAGGGUAAUAAUGACCUGUAUUUAAAAAAUAGAUUCAAAGUAAAAAAUGAAAUGAAACAUGAUUAAAAUGAGUUGAAGGAUGCUGCAGAAUUGAAGGCAAGGACAUAGAAAACUUUUGAAGAUGCUACGCUUCAAGUGGCAGAAAAGAAUGAGGCAGCAGUAGAAUUGAAGACUCAAGGGAGGGGAUUAAAUAUGUACAAUCUGAGAUGCAUUUUGAUAAUCAAGGCAAUAAUCCAGUGGGAGAGGAGAGCUUAAUUGCAGUAACAGUGUCCAUGAAACCUUCAGAAGGCGUAGAUUCAAGGACACAAGCCAAAGGACUGGCCUUCUAUAAUUAGGCUUUCCUAGGAUAGUUUCUUUUUUAUACUUAGGUCUCUAUGUACUAUGAAAUUUAUUUACCUAAAAGGGAUGGGUUAUGAAUCAAAUUCUAUUUUUCAAAUAAGUAGUAAAUGUUCUAACACCAUAUAUGGAGGAAUAUUUCCUUUGGUCAUUAAUUUUAUAUACCUUCUACUCAUAUUAAUGUAUAAAAUAUGCAUAUAACAUUAUAUAAAAACACAUGUAGUAUUAAACAAUGUCUAUUUCUGAGCUACAAUAAAUUAUUUUAAUUAUAUUUUAAUAAUAUUUGGUUCCAUACAUUCACGCAUCCUUUAAAAAUAUCAUUGUGUUUUCCUUGGGCCUUUAUUCAUUUCUAUUAAUUUAAAAAUUUUACAACGAGUUAUAAUUUUAUUAAGAUUUUAUAUGAAUGUGAAUGAAUUUGACAUUUUUAUAGAAUGAAGUUUUCCCAUUCAUGAACUUGAUAUAUUUCUCCAUUUAAUCACUUCAUCACAAAAGGUCUAUACUAUUUUAUUACACCAGACGAACAUAAUUAUAGUACAUCAAAAAGCUGGUGACCAGGUUUGGAAGAGUCUAUAAAUCAUGUCAUAAAGAAAAAUGAAUGUAUUUAGUUUGGAAAAUAGUAACUUAAGACAUCUAUAAUAACCUUCUAAGUUUUUGAAUGAAUCUGUGGUUAAAAAAAAAAAGGAACUAAAUCUUUUUUAAUUGCAGAAGACAAAAAGGAAGAAAAAUUAUGGAAAAGACACAUUUUUAUCAAUUAAAGAAAAAUUAUAUUGAAAUUGACUUCAUGAAUAUGUAAGUUCUGUAUCCCUGGCAGAAACUGGUAUUUGGAGAAAAUACAAAGCAUUCCUACACUGAAAGAAAUGAUGCACCCAAGGAUCAGAGGAGAGUCCUUUGUUGGCUCAUGUAUCACCUGGAUCUGAAAUGAUGUGGAGU
rnacentral:lncRNA from 10 species